ACAAGUUUCAACCUGAAACUGAUAUGUACAGUUUACAGGCCUAUAUGUAAAUAUUAGUUAUACUCAACCUAUUUUCAUUUAUAUAUUUGAUAACAAUGUCACACAGCUCUCUUACACUUAUGCUGUUAGGAAGAGAGAGAGA